GUACACUCCUACGGGAGGCAGCAGUGGGGUAUAUUGGACAAUGGGCGCAAGCCUGAUCCAGCCAUGCCGCGUGAGUGAUGAAGGCCCUAGGGUUGUAAAGCUCUUUCACCGGUGAAGAUAAUGACGGUAACCGGAGAAGAAGCCCCGGCUAACUUCGUGCCAGCAGCCGCGGUAAUACGAAGGGGGCUAGCGUUGUUCGGAUUUACUGGGCGUAAAGCGCACGUAGGCGGACUAUUAAGUCAGGGGUGAAAUCCUGGGGCUCAACCCCGGAACUGCCUUUGAUACUGGUAGUCUUGAGUUCGAGAGAGGUGAGUGGAAUUCCGAGUGUAGAGGUGAAAUUCGUAGAUAUUCGGAGGAACACCAGUGGCGAAGGCGGCUCACUGGCUCGAUACUGACGCUGAGGUGCGAAAGCGUGGGGAGCAAACAGGAUUAGAUACCCCUGUAGUCCCAUGAU
rnacentral:rRNA from 1 species